rnacentral:rRNA from 1 species
UACGGGGGGGGCAAGCGUUGUUCGGAAUUACUGGGCGUAAAGGGCUCGUAGGCGGCCAACUAAGUCGGAUGUGAAAUCCCCAGGCUUAACCUGGGAACUGCAUCCGAUACUGGAUGGCUUGAAUCCGGGAGAGGGAUGCAGAAUUCCAGGUGUAGCGGUGAAAUGCGUAGAUAUCGAGAGGAACACCGGUGGCGAAGGCGGCCAACUGGACAGAUACUGACGCUGAGACUCGAAAGCGUGGGGAGCAAACAGG